rnacentral:rRNA from 1 species
CCUACGGGCGGCAGCAGUGGGGAAUAUUGCACAAUGGGGGAAACCCUGAUGCAGCGACGCCGCGUGAGUGAAGAAGUAUUUCGGUAUGUAAAGCUCUAUCAGCAGGGAAGAAAAUGACGGUACCUGAUUAAGAAGCCCCGGCUAACUACGUGCCAGCAGCCGCGGUAAUACGUAGGGGGCAAGCGUUAGCCGGAUUUACUGGGUGUAAGGGGAGCGUAGACGGCAGCACAAGUCUGGAGUGAAAUGCCGGGGCUUAACCCCGGAACUGCUUUGGAAACUGUGCAGCUAGAGUGCAGGAGAGGUAAGUGGAAUUCCUAGUGUAGCGGUGAAAUGCGUAGAUAUUAGGAGGAACACCAGUGGCGAAGGCGGCUUACUGGACUGUAACUGACGUUGAGGCUCGAAAGCGUGGGGAGCAAACAGGAUUAGAUACCCGAGUAGUC